CAUCAUGAACAGUGCUCUU
rnacentral:snRNA from 1 species